AAAUGAUAAUUUUUACUGAAAAGGAUUUAAUUGGUUAAGUAUAAAAUAGAAUUUUUAAACAUAUUUACCUUUUGCAUCAUGGAUUUAUAAUAUACGAUUGUUUAAUAAAAUCUCGAAUUACUUAUAUUUAAGCUUUUUAUCUAUAUAAUGUUGAAUAAUUAUAUUAAAAAAUUGUUUGGAAAUUAUAUGUUAAUCAUUGAGUAAUAUAACUAGUUGUCUGAGAGAUAUUGUGAUAAUAAUUUAUUUAAGUAGUUUAAUAAAUUAAACUAAUUGAUAUAAUUUAAUUAGUUAUUAUAUAUUUUGUAUAUAAAUAUUUACAACAUUAUUUUAAAAUUUAAAGUAUAUAGUUUUAUAACUAAAAUGUUGUUAUAUUUUUCAAUUUAUUUUUAAUUAUAUGUUUAUCAGUCAUAUUUGAAAUUAUUUAAAAUUUUUAUAGUGUUAGUAUUAGUAUAUAUUUAAAUUAUAAAUUUAAUUAGAAAUUUAAUUUUAUAAUAAUAAUAAAUUUUAAAUAACUAGGCAAUUAUUAGAAUCGAAUGUUUAUCAAAAACAUUUUUUUUUGGUAUAAAAAAUAUGGCCUGCUCACUGAUCUUUAAAGAGCCGCAAUAUAUUGAUUGUGCUAAGGUAGCAAAAUAAUUAGUUUAUUAAUUGUAAACUAGUAUGAAUGGUUAUACGUAUUCUAGUCUUUUUUAAUUUUUUUGUUAAAAUUUAUUUUUAAAGUGCAAAAACUUUAAUAGAAUUGAAAGAGGAUAAGACCCCAAGAAUUUUUUUUUUAUUUAAAUGUAUUUAAAUUUUAUUAUUUGUUUAUUUAAGUUAAAAUUAGUUGGGGUGACUUUUAAGUAAAAUAAAUCUUAAAUUAAAAAUACUAUAAUAGGUUUGUUUGAUUAAAUUUUUUUAUUUUAGAUAAAUUACCUUGGGGAUAACAGCGUUAUAAAUAUUUAUAGUAUAUAUUUAAAUAUUUGAUUGCGACCUCGAUGUUGGAUUAAGUUUUUUUUUGGAACAUAAGCUAAAAAUUAAGGUCUGUUCGACCUAUAAAACUUACAUGAUCUGAGUUCAAAUCGGUGUAAACCAGGUUGGUUUCUAUCUUCAAAUUAUAAUUUAUAUAUUUUAGUACGAAAGGAAUUAAUAUUAAAAUUUUAUUUUUUGAAAAUUUUAUUUUAUAUUAUUUAUAUUUUUAUGUAAAUUUAAUG
rnacentral:rRNA from 1 species